rnacentral:rRNA from 1 species
UGGGGAAUAUUGGACAAUGGGCGAAAGCCUGAUCCAGCCAUGCCGCGUGUGUGAAGAAGGUCUUCGGAUUAUAAAGCACUUUAAGUUGGGAGGAAGGGCAGUAAGCGAAUACCUUGCUGUUUUGACGUUACCGACAGAAUAAGCACCGGCUAACUCUGUGCCAGCAGCCGCGGUAAUACAGAGGGUGCAAGCGUUAAUCGGAAUUACUGGGCGUAAAGCGCGCGUAGGUGGUUCGUUAAGUUGAAUGUGAAAGCCCCGGGCUCAACCUGGGAACUGCAUCCAAAACUGGCGAGCUAGAGUUGGGCAGAGGGUGGUGGAAUUUCCUGUGUAGCGGUGAAAUGCGUAGAUAUAGGAAGGAACACCAGUGGCGAAGGCGACCACCUGGGCUCAUACUGACACUGAGGUGCGAAAGCGUGGGGAGCAAACAGG